rnacentral:rRNA from 1 species
AUUGAACGCUGGCGGCAGGCCUAACACAUGCAAGUCGAACGGUAACAGGAAGACGCUUGCUUCUUUGCUGACGAGUGGCGGACGGGUGAGUAAUGUCAGGGAAACUGCCUGAUGGAGGGGGAUAACUACUGGAAACGGUAGCUAAUACCGCAUAACGUCGCAAGACCAAAGAGGGGGACCUUCGGGCCUCUUGCCAUCGGAUGUGCCCAGAUGGGAUUAGCUAGUAGGUGGGGUAACGGCUCACCUAGGCGACGAUCCCUAGCUGGUCUGAGAGGAUGACCAGCCACACUGGAACUGAGACACGGUCCAGACUCCUACGGGAGGCAGCAGUGGGGAAUAUUGCACAAUGGGCGCAAGCCUGAUGCAGCCAUGCCGCGUAUAUGAAGAAGGCCUUCGGGUUGUAAAGUACUUUCAGCGGGGAGGAAGGGAGUAAAGUUAAUACCUUUGCUCAUUGACGUUACCCGCAGAAGAAGCACCGGCUAACUCCGUG